rnacentral:rRNA from 1 species
GACAGAGGGUGCAAACGUUGUUCGGAAUUACUGGGCGUAAAGGGCUCGUAGGCGGCCAACUAAGUCAGACGUGAAAUCCCCAGGCUCAACCUGGGAACUGCGUCUGAUACUGGAUGGCUUGAAUCCGGGAGAGGGAUGCAGAAUUCCAGGUGUAGCGGUGAAAUGCGUAGAUAUCUGGAGGAACACCGGUGGCGAAGGCGGCAUCCUGGACCGGUAUUGACGCUGAGGCGCGAAAGCCAGGGGAGCAAACGGG